GAUGAACGCUGGCGGCGUGCCUAAUACAUGCAAGUCGAGCGAACAGACGAGGAGCUUGCUCCUCUGACGUUAGCGGCGGACGGGUGAGUAACACGUGGAUAACCUACCUAUAAGACUGGGAUAACUUCGGGAAACCGGAGCUACUACCGGAUAAUAUAUUGAACCGCAUGGUUCAAUAGUGAAAGACGGUUUUGCUGUCACUUAUAGAUGGAUCCGCGCCGCAUUAGCUAGUUGGUAAGGUAACGGCUUACCAAGGCAACGAUGCGUAGCCGACCUGAGAGGGUGAUCGGCCACACUGGAACUGAGACACGGUCCAGACUCCUACGGUAGGCAGCAGUAGGGAAUCUUCCGCAAUGGGCGAGAGCCUGACGGAGCAACGCCGCGUGAGUGAUGAAGGUCUUCGGAUCGUAAAACUCUGUUAUUAGGGAAGAACAAAUGUGUAAGUAACUAUGCACGUCUUGACGGUACCUAAUCAGAAAGCCACGGCUAACUACGUG
rnacentral:rRNA from 1 species